UACGGGGGGAGCAAGCGUUGUUCGGAAUCACUGGGCGUAAAGGGAGUCUAGGCGGUUUGGUAAGUGGGAUGUGAAAUGCCCGGGCUCACCCCGGGACCUGCAUCCCAAACUGCUGAGCUUGAGUACAGGAGAGGGUGGGGGAAUUCCAGGUGUAGCGGUGAAAUGCGUAGAUAUCAAGAGGAACACCUGAGGUGAAGACGGGUUGCUGGGCUGACACUGACGCUGAGGCGCGAAAGCCAGGGGAGCAAACGGG
rnacentral:rRNA from 1 species